AUGACCGGUCGUCGAAACUCCGUCACCGAUCUCGAAGGCAGUGUGUACAUAUGGCGCCAUCAUACCGAUAUUCUUAGCGCACGUUCCUCGAAAUCGUCCACAAAUCUCCCACUCUUACUGAAAGGCGAACACCGCCGAAGUGGUGGGAAUGUGCCGUGAGUAAAAAGACAUUUCGGGAACUCGACAAUCCCUUCCAUUACUCCACUUUGGUUUGCAGACUAGUGUGUGUUUGUGUGAGGGGGGGUGGGGGGUAGUGAGGACACGAGGGACGCCGUAUGAUGCCGACAAAUGGAAACACUGGGUCGUUCAUUGGGGAAAACAGUCGCCCUUUUUCGAAGCACUGCGACUGGUUAUACACCAAUUCCGGGAAAGUAGAUGUUUGGACCACAUACAAACACCUCCGCCGUCAUAUUUGGGCCGAUUUUGACCGUAUAAAAGAGAUCCCAGCGGUGAAACAAACUCAUCUACAAGUUACCUUCUUGUGGGUUUCGGUG